rnacentral:sRNA from 1 species
AAAAAAUUAAAAUAUCAUGAGACGAAAAAUGUAGCGGGACGGAUUUGGAUUGAUAUGAAAUAUAGCAGGACGGGUUUGGAUUGAUAUAACACAAAUU